AAUUCGAUGCAACGCGAAGAACCUUACCUGGUCUUGACAUCCCGGAGACCUUAGGAACAGGGGUGCUUCCAUCUGAAGAAUCUGGAGACAGGUGCUGCAUGGCUGUCGUCAGCUCGUGUCGUGAGAUGUUGGGUUAAGUCCCGCAACGAGCGCAACCCUUGCCUUUAGUUGCCAGCAGUUCGGCUGGGCACUCUAAAGGGACUGCCGGUGUUAAACCGGAGGAAGGUGGGGAUGACGUCAAGUCCUCAUGGCCUUUAUGACCAGGGCUACACACGUACUACAAUGGCCGAUACAAAGGGCAGCGACACUGCGAGGUGAAGCCAAUCCCGUAAAAUCGGUCUCAGUCCGGAUUGGAGUCUGCAACUCGACUCCAUGAAGUUGGAAUCGCUAGUAAUCGUGGAUCAGCAUGCCACGGUGAAUACGUUCCCGGGCCUU
rnacentral:rRNA from 1 species